UACGUAGGGACCAAGCGUUGUUCGGAUUUACUGGGCGUAAAGGGCGCGUAGGCGGCAAUUCAAGUCAUCUGUGAAAUCUCCGGGCUCAACCCGGGAACUGCGUCCGAUACUGGGAGGCUUGAAUCCGGGAGAGGGAUGUGGAAUUCCAGGUGUAGCGGUGAAAUGCGUAGAUAUCUGGAGGAACACCGGUGGCGAAGGCGGCAUCCUGGACCGGUAUUGACGCUGGGGCGCGAAAGCCAGGGGAGCAAACGGG
rnacentral:rRNA from 1 species